rnacentral:lncRNA from 1 species
UUGUGUGAUAAAGAAGAAACUCCAAGGCAGUGUAUAAAAUGGGAAAGGCAUUAAUACUUCUUUAUAGAGUAGCUGUAAAUACCACUUAAAUAGAAGGUCUUUACAAUUUUUAUGUGUGAUGUGGCAUUUUCCCUAUCUGGUUAUCUAAGUCAUUGUCUCUUCUAGGUUAGUUUUAGCCUUGCUUGCUGAAUAUUAGCUGCUGUGGACUCACCCCAAGUGAAGCAGGCUGGCCCUGGUUAAGAAGUUCUAUAGAAGUCCACGUUCGGUUAGUGUUAAGAUUACAACACUGUAAGCUGGGUGUGUUGGCAUAUGCCUGACAUGCCACUUGGGAGGCUAAGAUAGCCAAAUCAUGAAUUCUGACCAAUUUAAGCAACAAAAUGUGACCCUGUCUUAAAAAGUAAGAGUAGGGAGAGGAAAAAAAAUCACCACGAAGACCUAGAAAAAUCAGUAACAGUUGAGUGCAUCUUAUGGGAAGAGAUGGAGAAUCCGUAUUUGCUUACAUUCAACAUAGUCCACUGGGCACCUCCUAUACAUCAAGCUCUGUAGCUAGCUGUGGGGUGAGAGCUUAAUCACACAUACGUAUUGCUUCUAAGAAGUUAUGCGCCUGUGACCUGGCCACAUUUUUCUAUAACCUGUGCACUUGAUCUCCCUUCUGUCCUGGUCUCCAACAUCUAUUCUCAACACAACAGCCAGAGGAACUCUCCUAGAAUAUAAAUCUAGCCCACAGUUUUUCUCUUCUCUCAGCAAUCCCAAAACUUCCCAUCAUGCUCAGCAUGAGAUCCAAAGUCCUACAAAGCCCUCUUUUAAUAAAGCCACAGCUUCCUCUCCUGUCUUAUCCAUACCCAUCUUUCUGUCACUCAGGCUUCAAGGCACUCUGGCCUCUGGCUGUCCCUGAAACAGAUCAAGCAUGACCUUAUCUCAUCUCCGAGCCUUGCACUUAUUCUUUUCAGUUUGGCACAUUCUUCUCCAAACUACUCAUGACAAAUUUUCCAAUAAUCAUGAACCAGGCUCAACAUUUGCCUCUUCAGAGAAGCCAGACUUAACACUUGUUAACUUUCCUGCUUUGACUUUGUAUCACCUAUUUCAAUACCUUUAUUUCUGAUACAAUUCUCCAUAGGAACACUAUUUCUGGGAAGGUAGAGAUAAUUGACUCUUGAGGCACAUACCCACAGAGCCUGGUACAAAAGAGAUGUUCAGUAGAUGACAAUUUACCCAGAGAAAGACAGAAAAGGAGAGGCUAUUCCUUAAAUGUGCAUUCCAAAAAGUAAGUCAUCCCCAAGACAACAGUGCUAAACAGUGAGAACCAAUGAGAGCUCGUUAGAACACGGAGGCUCCAUCACGCACGGACUCAUGCAACAUCAAGGGCAUGGGUAUUUUAUGGAAGGACAAGUGUGGCCUCUCUCAUUCUUAUGCCCCUCAUCCUCCAAAUCCUGUUCCUUCAAGUCAUGAUGGCCCUUCACAAAUGACAGCCGUUUAUUUUUGGUUUUCCAACCUUCAGAACCAUAAGAAAUAAAAUUCUGUCCCUUAUAAAUUAACUAGUCUCUCUCUUUUUCUUAGGAGUGGUGCUUCUGGUGGUUGCUAGGCAUCAACUCCAGGGUCUUGAGCAUAUCAGACAAGUACUCUACCAACUCUAUAUCCCUAGUUCCCAGUCUCUCAGGUACUACUAAAGUAUCACAAAGUGGACUAAGACAGAAGGCAAAAGGGAAGAAACACAGCGAAGCGGUACCAGGUGAGACCUGUUCUCACAGAAAUACUCUUGAUGCUAAGGGUUUACCAAGCUUUUUUGUCACUCUAGUAAUCCACUUAAAUGCUGCCUGCUCUAUCCACUUCCAAUCUAUGAGGGAAGUCAGACAACAUGAUUCUAUGAUCAUUUGGGGUUUUCAAAUUCACAUGCAUCCACAUUCAAACAUGUAUGAUGCUAACACACAAAACUGGGAUACACUGGAUAAAAGUUCCCCAUUAGAAAAAAGAAAGGCUGAUCAUGAGAAAUGAUAUAGUAUACUACUUAUUAUGUAUAAUACUUUAAGAUAUGCACACUUUGCAGAAUGGCUUAAGUCAAACUGUCUAGUGGAUGAUAUUGUGCACACCUUUAAUCCCAGCACUUGGGAGGCAGAGGCAGAAGGAUCUGAGUUCUGGCCAGCCUGGUCUAUAGAGCGAGUCCCAGGAUAGCCAGAAGUACAGAGAGAGACCCUGUCUCAAAAGUAAGUAAGUAAAUAAAUUAAAUGGCCUUCAGUUGAUUAAGCCCAUACCUACCCUAUAUAGUCUACUUUAUUGCUUCUUGGCCUUUUAGCUAAGUACAAGUGUAAAAGGAAAAAAAAGAUUUUUUUUAAACAUACAUAUAUUAACUUAAAUCCAACAAGCCCAAAUCCUGUAGCUGCCUUUAAAGCUUCUAGCCAUUUCUUACAAUCAUGUCUUUAGAAAUUCUCUCACAUAGUCCUAGAAUAAAAACAAUGAACUCAAUUAUACAAACAAAUGAAAAUGCAAGUGCCCAAAUCACUCAAAAUAGACACAAUCACUGUGAUGGCUUGAAUCUGCUUGGCCCACGGGAAGUGCUGUUAGGAGGCGUGGCCUUGUUGGAGGAAGUGCAUGACUGUGGAGGUGGGGUUUAAGGGCCCCUAGUGUUUAAGCUCCACCCCCUCAGGGACACAGUCUUCUUCUCCUGGCGGCCUUUGGACCAUGAUAU